AGGAUUGUUUUGGUCAUUUGAGGUCCCUUGUAUUUCUACAGAAAAUUUUAGAUUGAGCUUGUCAAUUUUGGUGUAUAAAACAGUUGCUGUAGCUAGAACCUCCUGUAUAAUGCUGAAUAGAAGUGGUUCACCAGCACCUAAGUGGCACCCUUUUUCCUCCUGAGUGUUUCCAGCUGCCAUUUGGUAGACGGGAUGCCUUGUUUAUGUCCUAGUGGUCUUUAAAACUAAGCUUAGAGUGGAACAUUAGAAGUGGAAGUAACCUCAGAGGUCAUCAAGCUUUUCUCACCUUCCUCCUACCCUUUCAUUACGCAUAUGAGGAAACUGAGGUCCAGAAGACCCAUAGGGUAUGGCUAAUGGAGAAGAAAGGUGGCAAACUUUUUCAUUCAUUAAAAAUGUUUUUCAAUUACUAAAGUGAAGUCCUGCUGUGUCUGAUGGGGGGGAGGAAUAUUGGCAUCAUGUAGACACAGGAAAGACCUUGAAUCUGGAUAUUUUCUUCUAUUCCUAGUUUAAGUGUUUUUAUCAUGAAAGGGUGUUGGCUUUUGUCAAAUGCUUUUUCUGCAUGUACUGGGAUGCUCAUGUAUUUGUCCUUUAUCUAUUACAUGGAUUGAUGUUGGGAUGUUAAUCAACCUUGUAUUCCUUGGAUAAAUCCUACUAAGUCAUGGUGUAUAGCCUUUUUCGUAUGUUGGUAGAUUUGGUUUCUGAGUUUUGUGGGAUUUAUAUGUUGCCUUGGGUUGAAUGUCCCCCCAAAGCUUAAUCCCUGCUGUGACAAUGUCAAGAGGGUGACAAAUCCUAUUAUGGUAAUUGAAAGGUGAGGCCUUGAUGAGGUGAUUAGAUUGUAGGACCAUGCCUAGUGAAUGGAUUAAUAAUGGUGGUCAGGAGUGUGGUUAUGAGGGCUUUAAAAAGGGAGCAUGAAAAAUCUGUCUCUCUCUGCUCUGCUAUUUUCACAAUGUGAAACCCUGCCAUCCCUCUCGCAACUACCAAGACCUAGACCAGCUAUGUUCCCUGGACUUUGGACCU